AGGACGAACGCUGGCGGCGUGCCUAACACAUGCAAGUCGAACGGGACCAGGGGGCAACUCUGGUUCAGUGGCGGACGGGUGCGUAACACGUGAGGAACAUGACCUUCGGCGGGGGAUAGCCGGCCCAACGGCCGGGUAAUACCGCGUACGACCACUCGGGGACAUCCCCAGGUGGUGAAAGCAGCAAUGCGCCGAUGGAUGCCUCGCGCCUAUCAGCUAGUUGGUGAGGUAACGCUCACCAAGGCGACGACGGGUAGCUGGUCUGAGGACGGAUCGGGCCAGCCACAGUUCGGGACUGAGACACGGCCAGACUCCGACGGGAGCAG
rnacentral:rRNA from 1 species